GGGCAUCAGAAUGGGGGCAUCCCCUGUCCGCCUCGCACGCUAAGUUUCUUCCCGCUUACGCCCUGAGGACUCAGCCUGAAUAAAUGAUGGGUUGAAUGCAGAUGGAACUUUCCUACAAAAAUCUUUCUCCAACCUGGACAGAUCCCAGGAUGAUUUAUUCAGCAGCAAAAGGAGGGUAGAAACACAGCCAAGAGCUCCUCUUGAAUACCUGCUUCUUAACAGAAGUAAAAAAGAAAAAAAAAGUCUUUCUAGAAGCCAGUAGAAGACUUCCACAUUUAUCCCAUUGGCCAGA